UACGGGGGGGGUAAGCGUUGUUCGGAAUUACUGGGCGUAAAGGGCUCGUAGGCGGCCAACUAAGUCAGAGGUGAAAUCCCUCAGCUUAACUGGGGAACUGCGUCUGAUACUGGAUGGCUUGGAUUCGGGAGAGGAAUGCGGAAUUCCAGGUGUAGCGGUGAAAUGCGUAGAUAUCUGGAGGAACACCGGUGGCGAAGGCGGCAUUCUGGACCGACACUGACGCUGAGGCGCGAAAGCCAGGGGAGCGAACGGG
rnacentral:rRNA from 1 species